UACGAAGGGAGCUAGCGUUGUUCGGAAUCACUGGGCGUAAAGCGCACGUAGGUGGACAGUUAAGUCAGGGGUGAAAGCCCGAGGCUCAACCUCGGAAUUGCCUCUGAUACUGGCUGUCUAGAGUCCGAGAGAGGUGGGUGGAAUUCCUAGUGUAGAGGUGAAAUUCGUAGAUAUUAGGAAGAACACCGGUGGCGAAGGCGGCCCACUGGCUCGGUACUGACACUGAGGUGCGAAAGCGUGGGGAG
rnacentral:rRNA from 1 species